UAAAGAGACUCCACGCUGGAAAAUGGAUGUGCUCCACGGCUGAAGGGGAGAGAGAAACACGCGGCGGGUGGUGGUGGGUGCAGUGUAUGUAACACGCAUACUCUCGCGUGGAAACACAGAGGACACAAACGUGACGAGGCAGCCGAGGGGCUGUUACGCAACCAUUGACCUACUAACACAUAUUUCUAGAAAGGCUGCUGCAACAAAGUGGAGCAAAGUGUCCGCCGGCGCACGACACGGGGCGACUCGACCAAGGAGAGAGAUACCGGGGACUCGAACGCGCACAGACACCAAAGAGGGAACAACUUUUUUUUCUGGAUAGGUUUUGUCUAAAGAAAAGGAGGAAACGGGAGCGAGACAGCUUUUGUGUCGGGGAAGCCUGAAGGUUGUUUUCCCCUCCUCCACCAUUCAAAGCAACGGCAUUCAAGUCGGAUCCUCAGGGAGACCCGAAGUAGACAGCCUGACCUACAUCUUCUGUACGACACUGUGAUGAGAAGCGCUGUGGCCUGACAUGCUCCGCAGCUGUGCAGAACAUUUGGGAAGACAUCAGUAAACUCCAGUUCACCUGCCGAGAGACUCCACAGACUUGCGGUGCGCCAAGAAAA